rnacentral:lncRNA from 1 species
UCUUUUUUAAUUUCAUUUUUCUUUUUAACUUUUUCUUGAUGGUAAAGGGUCGAGGAUUGGGAAUUUUUAAGGAUUGAAUCAGAGAUUGAUAUUAACUGAAAACUUAAUAUUAGUACUUUGUUAUUUCACUCGUGAUUCAAUCAAUAUUAUAUUGUUCAACUUGAACAUGUCAUUUUGUGUUUUUAGGGCUAAUAUCUUAUUUCGUACCUACAUUUGAUUUCAAUGUUCAAUUUGGUACUUGAAAUUUUUUUCUGUCCUAAUUUGGUACUUG